GUCAGUUUGUCCGAGUGGUCUAAGGGGUUACGUUCAGGUCGUAAUGUGUUCGAACGCGUGAGUUCUAAUCUCACAGCUGACA
rnacentral:tRNA from 1 species